GAAACAAUUACAGAAUCAGAGAUUUGGAGUCUUCAGGCUGGAAUGUGGGUGUCCAGUUCUGGCCUUUGUUCAUCACGGACAAAGUAUUUCCUCAUAUCAGUGGGGAAACCAUGACACAGCACUCUUCAAAAGAGGGUGCGUCGACAACCAUUGGUAAACUCUGCGGACAGCUCUGCCACAUACAUGCUAUCAAGGCAGCCUGUUUUCAGAGGCUUCUCUGUGCCACUGUUCGGGAGUGUCUGAAUUUUGGGGAUAAAAAUGGUCUUCUCAUAGCUUUCACUGCUUUGGAAAGGAAGCCAAGGAUCCAACAGAAAAAAACCUAGUAUCUGUUCACCUACUUCAGCAAAUUCCUACACAUGCCUCUAGAACUCUGCACAAUGGUGCUUAUGCCUCCUCUGCAUUACUAGGACUGGGCUAAUGAAACAGACUUCUUCCUGGGUCCUCAAGAUCUGCUUGAGCAUGAAGUUUUGUGUUCCAUCAUUUCUGAGUAGCUGGGAAUCCCUGUCACCAAAGAGAUCUUCUGCAAGGAACUAAGAUGAAACCCUGGCUCCCAGUAAAACCUUACAGUUAUGCAUCCCCUGAUGUUUAUAUUGGUUGAAUCGUACAAGUGUGGACCUGAAGGACCCUUUGGAGAUCAUUUAGUUCAACUCUCUUCUCUGAGAAGGACUACAAGGAACACUGUACCAGUUGCUGACGUGGAUCACAUGGAGUACAGAUGUGGACAAGGCACACACACUAGAAUUCCAGACUUGAACUACCAAAACCUGUAACAGAGCUCCGACAUCAGCUGCGUCAGUUCUAGCAGUUCAGAUCAUCGAUGGAUAAUGAUCACCAUGAGUGAUACUGAAGAUCAUACAUCCACCUGCAGUGCCAGGCAGAACUGUCAAGCCUCAUACACUGAGGAUGGACCCCAGGCGGGUGCACUCCUGACCAGUACUGCCCUACAGCCAAGUCUGUAUUUCCCAUACGUGGAGCAUGCUGCCAUGGGUAACUGCCUGUUUGGGAGCCUCACCCACUGCAUUCAGCUUGCCAACCUAGUUAUGAUUCACCAGCCAGCAGGGCAAGGUGUAGUGCUGGUACAUAGCAUUAUUAAGAUAGCAAGUGAAGGUUUCUUUGCAAGCAACAAGUUGAGUCUCAAAUGAAGAAUAUUUGUAGAACUUACUAAAGUGAAACUGAGGUGAUCCUAGGAACUGAAAAAACAAAGUCGACUGCUCUUGGUUUUUUUCCUUCUGUGAACUGGCCGCUGCAGAAUCUCAAACUUUAUAGAAAUUAUUUUCCUUGUGACACAAAAAAAAUCGUAUUUGAUGCAAAUACAGCUCAUAACUGAUGCAACCCGAAAAGUAAUUUUAUGAUGUAUCUCCUGCUAACAAAUGAUACAUGGAGAUCCUAAAUAUGACAAAAGCCAGACAUGUGAAAUGAAGACACUUUGGUACAAAGAUAUGACAAAGUCUAUAGAUAGUCUUUUUUAAAUUAAACCAACCAGUGAAAAAAGCAGGCACUUUUGGACACACAAAGCCUUCCUGAAGCAAUGAAGAAUGUACACCUAGCUACAAUUUCUGAGCAUAUUAGUUGGAAAUUAAUUACACCAGUUGGUUUAAUAAACAUAUUAGUUCUUUUUAAA